CCUACGGGAGGCAGCAGUGAGGAAUAUUGGUCAAUGGACGAGAGUCUGAACCAGCCAAGUAGCGUGAAGGAUGACUGCCCUAUGGGUUGUAAACUUCUUUUAUAUGGGAAUAAAAUGUUCCACGUGUGGGAUUUUGUAUGUACCGUAUGAAUAAGGAUCGGCUAACUCCGUGCCAGCAGCCGCGGUAAUACGGAGGAUCCGAGCGUUAUCCGGAUUUAUUGGGUUUAAAGGGAGCGUAGGUGGAUUGUUAAGUCAGUUGUGAAAGUUUGCGGCUCAACCGUAAAAUUGCAGUUGAAACUGGCAGUCUUGAGUACAGUAGAGGUGGGCGGAAUUCGUGGUGUAGCGGUGAAAUGCUUAGAUAUCACGAAGAACUCCGAUUGCGAAGGCAGUUCACUGGACUGCAACUGACACUGAGGCUCGAAAGUGUGGGUAUCAAACAGGAUUAGAUACCCGAGUAGUC
rnacentral:rRNA from 1 species